rnacentral:tRNA from 1 species
UUUAAAUAGUUUAAAAAAAAAUGUUGGUUUGUGGGGCCAGAGAUAUAGGUUUGUUAUUUUAAAUCA